CAUUGUUUAUCGCAAGGUUGUGAGUUCAGUAGAGAGGAAUUGUAAUCAAAAGAAUUGUCUCGAUUAGAUUCUGUGAAUUAGAAGUUGUUUGUUCCGGGGUUUGGAUUAUGUAUGUGUGUUCAUGAAUUACACAGGGUACUGAAAUUGAUGUCGUAGUUGUUAUCGUAUUGAUAUGAGAGAAUGGACAGUAGGAAGAAAAGUUAAGUGAUCUUCGAUAUUGUAAGCAUUUAGCAAUAGUGGUUAAUUGUGUGACUCUAACAAUUGGAGCUCAUAUACAUGGUCUUUCCUUGUGUUCGAAUUCCCCUAUACAGAUUUAUUCUGGGAGGUUUCUUUCAGAAUAAGUAAAAUGAUAAUAAAAAUUAUUCAAUAUUAUCUAAA
rnacentral:lncRNA from 1 species